CACCAAUCAAUCAGGAAAUCACCAAUUCACGAUCAUCAUCAAGUGAUUCAAGUCUUACUAGUUAGUAGCUAUCAAUCAAUCAGGUUAAGUGGUGACUGCCAAGGAUACCAAUUUUUUCUUCGUCUAUCAGAUUCAAUCUAAACCUUUUUGUUUCCAAGGUUGAGGUUGUCCUAUCCAAUCAAUGGCCUUAUU